rnacentral:rRNA from 1 species
ACGCGAAGAACCUUACCUGGUCUUGGCAUGUAGUGAACUUAGCAGAAAUGUUUUGGUGCAUUCGGGAACACUAACACAGGUGCUGCACGGCUGUCGUCAGCUCGUGUCGUGAGAUGUUGGGUUAAGUCCCGCAACGGGCGCAACCCCUGUCCCUAGUUGCCAGCACAUAAUGGUGGGAACUCUAGGGAGACUGCCGGUGACAAACCGGAGGAAGGUGGGGAUGACGUCAAGUCAUCAUGGCCCUUAUGACCAGGGCUACACACGUGCUACAAUGGGCAGUACAGAGGGAAGCAAAAUCGCGAGAUCAAGCAAAUCCCAGAAAGCUGUCCGUAGUCCGGAUCGGAGUCUGCAACUCGACUCCGUGAAGUCGGAAUCGCUAGUAAUCGCGAAUCAGCAUGUCGCGGUGAAUACGUUCCCGGGCCUUGUACACACCGCCCGUCACACCAUGGGAGUUUGUUGCACCAGAAGCAGGUAGUCUAACCGAAAGGAGGGCGCUUGCCACGGUGUGGCCGUCGAUUGGGGUGAAGUGGUAACAAGGUAACCAAGGGCGAA